ACUGUUCAUUAUGAGGUUAUUUGUUUACUAAACAAAUAAAAUCAAAAAAUUAUAAAAUUUUAUUUUUAAAUAAUUCCAACACUGUAGAUCAUAUCUAAUAGAGUUGAUUGCUGAAUCGAAUGUUCCAUCAUAAAAAAUAACUUACAAGUACGGAGGCAUCCGUACUUUCAAAAAUAUAAUAGCCUAGCUUCACAUAUAUCCUAUUCUAGUUCUAACAUCUAUAUCUCUAUACAUAUUUAUUUCUUAUAUAUUAAUUUUCAUGACUAAAUCUCACAUGUAUCCACCCCUU
rnacentral:lncRNA from 1 species